GCACCGAAGCUGCGGCAGCGACGCUGAUGCGUUGUUGGGUAGGGGAGCGUUCUGUAAGCCUGUGAAGGUGUGUCGUGAGGCAUGCUGGAGGUAUCAGAAGUGCGAAUGCUGACAUAAGUAACGAUAAAGCGGGUGAAAAGCCCGCUCGCCGGAAGACCAAGGGUUCCUGUCCAACGUUAAUCGGGGCAGGGUGAGUCGACCCCUAAGGCGAGGCCGAAAGGCGUAGUCGAUGGGAAACGGGUUAAUAUUCCCGUACUUGGUGUUACUGCGAAGGGGGGACGGAGAAGGCUAUGUUGGCCGGGCGACGGUUGUCCCGGUUUAAGCGUGUAGGUGUGUGUUCCAGGUAAAUCCGGUUCACUUUAACACUGAGGCGUGACGACGAGGCACUACGGUGCUGAAGCAACAAAUGCCCUGCUUCCAGGAAAAGCCUCUAAGCAUCAGGUAACACGAAAUCGUACCCCAAACCGACACAGGUGGUCAGGUAGAGAAUACCAAGGCGCUUGAGAGAACUCGGGUGAAGGAACUAGGCAAAAUGGUGCCGUAACUUCGGGAG
rnacentral:rRNA from 1 species